ACGCUGGCGGCGUGCCUAACACAUGCAAGUCGAACGGAGUGUUGCGCUGAUUUGAUAGUAGCUUGCUACAGGAUUUCUUGCAACACUUAGUGGCGGACGGGUGAGUAACGCGUGAGCAACCUGCCUUACAGAGGGGGACAACAGCUGGAAACGGCUGCUAAUACCGCAUAACGUAGCGAGGGGACAUCCCCUUGUUACCAAAGGAGCAAUCCGCUGUAAGAUGGGCUCGCGUCCGAUUAGAUAGUUGGUGAGGUAACGGGCUCACCAAGUCGACGAUCAGUAGCCGGACUGAGAGGUUGAACGGCCACAUUGGGACUGAGACACGGCCCAGACUCCUACGGGAGGCAGCAGUGGGGGAUAUUGCGCAAUGGGGGGAACCCUGACGCAGCAACGCCGCGUGAAGGAAGAAGGUCUUCGGAUCGUAAACUUCUGUCUUCAGGGACGAAAACUGACGGUACCUGAGGAGGAAGCCACGGCUAACUACGUG
rnacentral:rRNA from 1 species